rnacentral:rRNA from 1 species
UCCUGGCUCAGAUUGAACGCUGGCGGCAUGCCUUACACAUGCAAGUCGAACGGCAGCACGGGAGCAAUCCUGGUGGCGAGUGGCGAACGGGUGAGUAAUAUAUCGGAACGUGCCCAGUCGUGGGGGAUAACGUAGCGAAAGCUACGCUAAUACCGCAUACGAUCUAUGGAUGAAAGCGGGGGAUCGCAAGACCUCGCGCGAUUGGAGCGGCCGAUAUCAGAUUAGGUAGUUGGUGGGGUAAAAGCCUACCAAGCCUUCGAUCUGUAGCUGGUCUGAGAGGACGACCAGCCACACUGGAACUGAGACACGGUCCAGACUCCUACGGGAGGCAGCAGUGGGGAAUUUUGGACAAUGGGCGCAAGCCUGAUCCAGCAAUGCCGCGUGCAGGAUGAAGGCCUUCGGGUUGUAAACUGCUUUUGUACGGAACGAAACGGUUCUCUCUAAUACAGGGGGCUAAUGACGGUACCGUAAGAAUAAGCACCGGCUAACUACGUG